GUUUCUUUGUCUUUUUUUCCCCUUAGAUACAGUGAAUGAUAAAACAUUAGGAGGAGACAAGUGGCAGAAAUAGUUUAAAGAGGCCGCUGCACUGAGAUCACCUCAACCCUGAGAUCAGGAGCUCAGAAUAACAAAGCAUCUGAAGCAGCUCAGAUACUCCACAGUCCAACACUGCUGACACAGGAGAGGGAUGACAUGGAAACAAAAGCAGACGCAGCAGACGGCCUUCAGAAGAAGUCCAAGAAGAAAUAUUUGAGGCCACAGACUGAAACAGUAUUUUUACCUGUCAUCAUGAGACAUUUGGGGUGACAGUUUUCAUUUUUUGUUGUGCUUAAUGCUUACAGUCUAAGACAUCUGCUGUUGAUAUUUAACACAAAGAGAAAAGUUAAACAGCUUUUACAAGUUUGAUAUUCUGAUCAUCACUCUGUACAUGAGGUGCUGUGAUUUAAUUUCAAAGGUCCUGGUGAGCCAUUUACACCAACCAGGGACAGUUUAAUUAGACCACAUUUGUAUUCUAAUUACAAAUGUAUUCUAACAUGUUUUUGUGUUCUCCGUGCUUCAGGUUCACAGCAGAUGGAAGGAAACUCAAA